CCUACGGGAGGCUGCAGUGAGGAAUAUUGGUCAAUGGGCGGAAGCCUGAACCAGCCAAGUAGCGUGCAGGAUGACGGCCCUACGGGUUGUAAACUGCUUUUAUACGGGAAUAACGCGCCUUACGUGUAGGGCUUUGCAUGUACCGUAUGAAUAAGACCCGGCUAAUUCCUCCCCAGAAGCCGCGGUAAUACGGAAGGUCCGGGCGUUAUCCGGAUUUAUUGGGUUUAAAGGGAGCGUAGGCCGCAUGUCAAGCGUGCUGUGAAAUGUCCGGGCUCAACCCGGGCCUUGCAGCGCGAACUGGCGUGCUUGAGUCCGCGGAAAGCAGGCGGAAUUCGUCGUGUAGCGGUGAAAUGCUUAGAUAUGACGAAGAACCCCGAUUGCGAAGGCAGCUUGCUGCAGCGGAACUGACGCUGAUGCUCGAAAGCGCGGGUAUCGAACAGGAUUAGAUACCCCGGUAGUC
rnacentral:rRNA from 1 species